AGAGCGAACGCUGGCGGCAGGCCUAACACAUGCAAGUCGAGCGCGUGUAGCAAUACACGAGCGGCAGACGGGAGAGUAACACGUGGGAACGCGCCCUUCGGUUCGGAAUAACUCAGGGAAACUUGAGCUAAUACCGGAUACGCCCUUACGGGGAAAGAUUUAUUGCCGAAGGAACGGCCCGCGUCCGAUUAGCUAGUUGGUGAGGUAACGGCUCACCAAGGCGACGAUCGGUAGCUGGUCUGAGAGGAUGACCAGCCUCACUGGGACUGAGACACGGCCCAGACUCCUACGGGAGGCAGCAGUGGGGAAUAUUGGACAAUGGGCGCAAGCCUGAUCCAGCCAUGCCGCGUGGAUGAUGAAGGCCUUAGGGUUGUAAAGCUCUUUCGCCCGCGACGAUGAUGACGGUAGCGGGAGAAGAAGCCCGGCUAACUUCGUGCCAGCAGCCGC
rnacentral:rRNA from 1 species